GCCUUCGCAGGUUCCGGCCCCGCCCUCCCUUGUCGCUGCUCGCAUCUCGCAGCGUCCAGGGCUGAUGAGCGCCUUGCUCCCGGUCACUCCAUCUCCUCGAAAUUCUUUCUGGGCCCGGACAGAAGACCCUCUGCUCUGUGGAGUCCCGAAGCACGUCCUGCGGUUUCAAAAGCAAGGAGAAGAGUUCAAGGGCACGAGGUCAGAGGCCCCGAUAAAGCCCGGCUCCCGUGCAGGUCUGAGUCCUGUAAUAGCGCUGCACGCCGUGCACUCCCAGGAGGGCUGAGCCGCAAGACCCGCCGCAGUCACCUGGCAGCCGGGUCCCGAGGCGGCCUCGGGACGGGGACCCACAGGAGGAAGCGUUCUGUUUUGGACCUGGGCCCCUGGAUGGCUAAAAUGUUAUCUAAGGAAGACUUUCAAUGACCCCGGAUUCUAGCUUCUUCCCCAAGCUCCCGCAUUGGAUGCAUUCCCUGUGUUUUCACUCAAAAGAAAUGGCAAAGAGUCUUCGCUAGAAGGACCGAGAGCAGCAGGGCCGGGCAGCCAUGGAGCCAAGGCGGGAGGAAGAUGCGUCGGUGGGCUUGACCAUCAGCCAGGGCUCUGGAUUGGACUCUGGGGACCCUGGGAGCCACGGGGCAAGAGGCAGCGGCAGGACAGCCAAGCGACAAACUCUCUUGCCCCAUGGCUCCCAGGCUCACUAUUUUCCAGGUGAAGUUAGUCUCUUACUACUAGUCCUACAACGACGCUGACGCUGAGAGUCAACAGCUGCUCAGCGGACACACAAGCCUCGAGGCCCUGGAAGGCGCACCUUCUGCCCUCUCGGGCCUGGUAGGUUUUAACCAGUCGUCAAACCGUGUAUCCUCAGUGGCCGUGUCAUGCUUUGAAGGGUGUGCCCUACCCCUCCCUUCCUUCCUGUUGUCACACAGGCAGACCUGAGCAGAGAAGGGGAACGUGGGGCUGGAUGACAGGAAACCAGCCAUCGUUGCUGUUGACUUGAAAAAAGUAUACAACCUCAACCAUGGUUUAAAAAAUUAAAACUUGAAAGUCGAGAGUUCGGUUCUCUUUGGGGUGAAGCGGGAGCUAGGACAUAUGGGUUUUUGCAACAAAGGGCAGGUAGCAGGAACAAAAGAGUCACAGACAACCGGAGGUACAGAAAGCUGGUUUCUGUGGUUAGAAGUCAGGUCGGGGCCUCCUGGAGCCCAGCCUUUGAGGCGCACCCCAGCUGGGGGUCGUCUUUUGUUGGUGUCCUGUGCUCCCCCGGGGCUCCCGGCCCACCCCUGGGAGUGGCUCUUCUCACGGGUGACCACCGCGACGUCUUUUCUUUUGCCCACUUAGCUGCAGCCCAGGAGGCCGGACGGCAGAGCUGGCCGACUUUCUGCCCCACGAGGAGAGGGGACAACAGGCCGUGACGCAGGUGAAGAGGGAGGUGCCUGCGGCCAGGCUGGCCUCUCACCGGGGUCUGCUGCUGGUGGCGGGACGGUCACUACUCGCCACAGGCAGCUGUCAUCGUGAAGGAUCUUAGUGUUUUUCUAGAUGCCAAGGGGAGCCUCCACGUUCCGGGAGAGGUGUCCCCAGCUGGUCUCCAGGGUCAGCGGCCACAUUUGAUGGAGCGGGGGGGUCUGUCUCCGUCCUCCUGGGAACCUAUCAGUUCCAGGAGAUUUUUUCGCACUUGUGAAUUGCUGUUGAAUGUUAUCAAAUGGUUUUCCUGUAGACUCAACAUAAUCACGUGGUUUUUCCUCUGAAGCCUGUCCUUAAGGGGAAAUACAUGGGCUGUUUUCAGGAUCUACUGAAAAUGAGAGUUCCAUGCUGGCUCAGCGGGUUAAGGAUCGGGCGUUGUCACUGCUGUGGCACAGGUUUGAUCCCUGGCCGGGAACUUCUCUGUGCCACAGGCACAACCAAAAUACAGACAAUCCUGAACACGCCCCGCAUGCCUAGAAUAUACCUCAUUUGGUCAUGUGAUUUUAAAAAAUACACUGCUGAAUUCUA